GAACGCUGGCGGCAGGCCUAACACAUGCAAGUCGAACGGUAACAGGAAACAGCUUGCUGUUUCGCUGACGAGUGGCGGACGGGUGAGUAAUGUCUGGGAAACUGCCUGAUGGAGGGGGAUAACUACUGGAAACGGUAGCUAAUACCGCAUAACGUCGCAAGACCAAAGAGGGGGACCUUCGGGCCUCUUGCCAUCGGAUGUGCCCAGAUGGGAUUAGCUAGUAGGUGGGGUAACGGCUCACCUAGGCGACGAUCCCUAGCUGGUCUGAGAGGAUGACCAGCCACACUGGAACUGAGACACGGUCCAGACUCCUACGGGAGGCAGCAGUGGGGAAUAUUGCACAAUGGGCGCAAGCCUGAUGCAGCCAUGCCGCGUGUAUGAAGAAGGCCUUCGGGUUGUAAAGUACUUUCAGCGGGGAGGAAGGGAGUAAAGUUAA
rnacentral:rRNA from 1 species